rnacentral:rRNA from 1 species
GACGAACGCUGGCGGCGUGCUUAACACAUGCAAGUCGAGCGAGUGGCGGACGGGUGAGUAAUGUCUGGGAAACUGCCCGAUGGAGGGGGAUAACUACUGGAAACGGUAGCUAAUACCGCAUACCAUCGGAUGUGCCCAGAGGGGAUUAGCUAGUAGGUGGGUUAACGGCUCACCAAGGCGACGACGGGUAGCCGGCCUGAGAGGGCGACCGACAACAUUGGGACUGAGAUACGGUCCAGACUCCUACGGGAGGAAGCAGUGGGGAAUAUUGCACAAUGGGCGCAAGCCUGAUGCAGCCAUGCCGCGUGUAUGAAGAAGGCCUUCGGGUUGUAAAGUACUUUCAGCGAGGAGGCGUUACUCGCAGAAGAAGCACCGGCUAACUCCGUGCCAGCAGCCGCGGUAAUUC